UACGUAGGUGGCAAGCGUUGUCCGGAUUUACUGGGCGUAAAGAGCGCGCAGGCGGUCGAUCAAGUCGGGUGUGAAAGCCCCCGGCUCAACUGGGGAGGGUCACUCGAUACUGAUCGACUUGAAGGCAGGAGAGGGAAGCGGAAUUCCCGGUGUAGUGGUGAAAUGCGUAGAUAUCGGGAGGAACACCAGUGGCGAAGGCGGCUUCCUGGCCUGUUCUUGACGCUGAGGCGCGAAAGCUAGGGGAGCAAACGGG
rnacentral:rRNA from 1 species